AACGCACAUUGCGCCCCUUGGUAUUCCGAAGGGCAUGCCUGUUCGAGCGUCAUUUCACCAAUCAAGCACCGCUUGGUAUUGGGCGCACAGGCCGGCGCUUCCGCCGCCGGCCCGCCCGAAAUGCAUCGGCGAGGACGACCGACCCCCGGCGUGUUAAGAAUCCAGUUCGUACGCCUGGAGCACCGGACGGCCCGCCGUGAAAACCUCUUUUAUUCAAAGGUUGACCUCGGAUCAGGUAGGAAUACCCGCUGAACUUAA
rnacentral:misc_RNA from 1 species